rnacentral:misc_RNA from 1 species
AACUCUCAACCCCCUUGUUUUUUAAUGAAGCAGGCGUGGGCUUGGAUUAUGGCUGUCUGCUGGACUCUUUAACUAGAGACCGGCUCGGCUGAAAUAAACGAGUAACCCAGUUUGAAUAUUAACGGUUUGACUCGGCGUAAUAGCUUUAUUUCGCUGAGGACGUUUCAUAUCAAGAUAGUGGUGCUUCUAAUGCGUCGUAGCGUCAGCUGCACACCUUAAGC